rnacentral:rRNA from 1 species
UACGUAGGGGGCAAGCGUUGUUCGGAAUUACUGGGCGUAAAGGGCGCGUAGGCGGCAUGGCAAGUCGGGAGUGAAAGCCCGGGGCUCAACCCCGGAACGGCUUUCGAAACUGCCAAGCUAGAGUACGGAAGGGGCAACUGGAAUUCCCAGUGUAGCGGUGAAAUGCGUAGAUAUCUGGAGGAAUACCGGUGGCGAAGGCGGCAUCCUGGACCGGCAUUGACGCUGAGGAGCGAAAGCCAGGGGAGCAAACGGG